GCGCCGUUGGUCUAAUGGUUAGGAUUCGUCCCUCCCACGGACGAGGUCGGGGUUCGAUUCCUCGGCGGGCGCA
rnacentral:tRNA from 1 species